CAAUGGUGCUCCUUCCUUCUAAGGCUUACUCCACUACUCAAGGUUGGGGACCAGUCAGACCAGUCAAUUCCUGAAAACCACCAGAUUGUUCAAGCAGAGAAGGUUGAUGUUGGGACUGGAGUGAGAACAAGAUGGCAGCUACUGGAUGCUGAUAAAGACAAGGUCAGAUGUGCAAACACUAGCCCUUCCCUGGUCAAUAUUAGUGUGUGAAGACCAAGACAAGAGCAUGUCUGUAUUCCUAGGAAGGAACUGGCAGCCAUGGACACGCAGACGGCUUCUCUGAACAGGAACUAGAACAUUUACUAAGGAAAUCCCAGCUGCUCACAACAAAUACAUGAGAUGGCUUGGCCAGAAAGAGACAAUUAUUACAAGAGUAAUAAUGAAAGCAGCAAUGAUAAACAAACUAUCCUGACGAAGCUGUGUUGAAGACAAGAGGGACAAAAAGCGGUUCCUCCCAUAAGACCUAUGCACACCC
rnacentral:lncRNA from 1 species